rnacentral:rRNA from 1 species
CCUACGGGAGGCAGCAGUGAGGAAUAUUGGUCAAUGGGCGGAAGCCUGAACCAGCCAAGUAGCGUGCAGGAUGACGGCCCUACGGGUUGUAAACUGCUUUUAUACGGGAAUAACGCGCCUUACGUGUAGGGCUUUGCAUGUACCGUAUGAAUAAGGACCCGCUAAUUCCGUGCCAGCAGCCGCGGUAAUACGGAAGGUCUGGGCGUUAUCCGGAUUUAUUGGGGUUAAAGGGAGCGUAGGCCUCAUGGAAAGCGGGCUGUGAAAUGUCCGGGCUCAACCCGGGCCUUGCAGCUGGAACUGGCGUGCGUGAGGCCGCGGAAAGCAGGCGGAAUUCGUAGGGUAGCGGGGAAAUGCUUAG